rnacentral:lncRNA from 1 species
GACGUGAUCCAGGCAGAGCACUCGCUAGGAUCUUGUUGCCCUUUGGGCUAUUCUGUUUCACUUUGUGCAUAAGUGAAAAAAAAAAAAAAUUAGCCCAAGGACACUCGCAUGGGAAAUAGGAUAGGCAGUGUGUGUUGAGCCACCUGUGAUGCUGUUGUUCCUCUGCAAUUUAGGGGAAGCCGGCGGCUAAAAUGUUCUCAGUUGAGUUUGUCGAGAAGCAGAGUGAGUCACCGUCUCCCUUUUCGUAAAGUUAGCACGCUGACUAGCGAGCGCCCUGUCCUUGGGGGCUGAAGUGCCUGAGGAGCCGCUGACGAUCCAGCCGUUCUUAAGAAGAAUGUUACCAGCAAGUUGA